UACGGAGGGUGCGAGCGUUGUCCGGAAUCACUGGGCGUAAAGGGCGCGUAGGCGGCCUGCUAAGUCGAACGUGAAAUCCCUGGGCUCAACCCAGGAACUGCGUCCGAUACUGGUUGGCUUGAAUCCGGGAGAGGGACGUGGAAUUCCAGGUGUAGCGGUGAAAUGCGUAGAUAUCUGGAGGAACACCGGUGGCGAAGGCGACGUCCUGGACCGGCAUUGACGCUGAGGCGCGAAAGCCAGGGGAGCAAACGGG
rnacentral:rRNA from 1 species